UGAGGAAUAUUGGACAAUGGAUGGAAAUCUGAUCCAGCCAUGCCGCGUGCAGGAAGACGGCCCUAUGGGUUGUAAACUGCUUUUGUAUGGGAGCAAUAAGGACUACGUGUAGUUUGAUGAAAGUACCAUACGAAUAAGCAUCGGCUAACUCCGUGCCAGCAGCCGCGGUAAUACGGAGGAUGCGAGCGUUAUCCGGAUUUAUUGGGUUUAAAGGGUGCGUAGGCGGCGAUAUAAGUCAGUGGUGAAAUAUUUCGGCUUAACCGAGAGACUGCCAUUGAUACUGUGUUGCUAGAAUAUGGUUGCUGUGAGUGGAAUGUGUUGUGUAGCGGUGAAAUGCUUAGAUAUCACACAGAAUAUCGAUUGCGAAGGCAGCUCACAAAGCCAUUAUUGACGCUGAGGCACGAAAGUGUGGGGAUCAAACA
rnacentral:rRNA from 1 species